rnacentral:rRNA from 1 species
UGGAUUAGUGGCGAACGGGUGAGUAACACGUGAGUAACCUGCCCUUAACUCUGGGAUAAGCCUGGGAAACUGGGUCUAAUACCGGAUAGGAGCGCCUACCGCAUGGUGGGUGUUGGAAAGAUUUAUCGGUUUUGGAUGGACUCGCGGCCUAUCAGCUUGUUGGUGAGGUAAUGGCUCACCAAGGCGACGACGGGUAGCCGGCCUGAGAGGGUGACCGGCCACACUGGGACUGAGACACGGCCCAGACUCCUACGGGAGGCAGCAGUGGGGAAUAUUGCACAAUGGGCGCAAGCCUGAUGCAGCGACGCCGCGUGAGGGAUGACGGCCUUCGGGUUGUAAACCUCUUUCAGUAGGGAAGAAGCGAAAGUGACGGUACCUGCAGAAGAAGCACCGGCUAACUACGUGCCAGCAGCCGCGGUAAUACGUAGGGUGCGAGCGUUAUCCGGAAUUAUUGGGCGUAAAGAGCUCGUAGGCGGUUUGUCACGUCUGUCGUGAAAGUCCGGGGCUUAACCCCGGAUCUGCGGUGGGUACGGGCAGACUAGAGUGCAGUAGGGGAGACUGGAAUUCCUGGUGUAGCGGUGGAAUGCGCAGAUAUCAGGAGGAACACCGAUGGCGAAGGCAGGUCUCUGGGCUGUAACUG